rnacentral:lncRNA from 1 species
GUGGUGAUACUAUUUGGAUGUGUGUUUUUGUUUUCAUCAGGUUUGAUUCUAACCUUUUACUUAAGAAGGAAAGCAGCCACACCUCAUAAUGACCAGAGACAUGGAGACAUAUUCAAGAUAUGGAACUUCGAUGGAAACAUCGCCCAUCAACACAUCAUCCAAGCAACAGCAGACUUCGAUUUCAGGUACUGCAUUGGAACUGGAGCUUACGGGAGCGUCUACAGAGCUCAACUGCCAACUGGAAAAGUCGUUGCUGUCAAAAAGCUUCACAGAUUCGAAGGAGAGAAUCCUAGUUACGACAUGUGCUUCAGGAAUGAAGCAAGGGUUCUCUCUGAGAUACGCCAUCGCCAUAUUGUCAAGCUUUUCGGUUAUUGCCUGCACAAGCGUAAUUGCAAAAACAUUUCUUUAACUUAAAAAGAGUAAUUUAUUGGUAAUAGCAAUACAUGUGUACACAACGACAUUAACACACAACACAUUCGACAAGCAAGACAUCGUUUUCUCAUUACCUUAGUCACAACAAUGAGGAUCACCCCCAUCUACGGCUCGACGACGAUCUUUCCGGUAGCAUGGCCGUCGAUGCUCUUCGCCCAGGCGGCUGCGGCUUCGCUCAACGGGUACUUGCAGUCGAUCACCGUCUUCAGCUUCCCCUGCUUCAUCAGCUCAGCGAGGAACUGCACAUUCUCCGCCUUGACAGAGUUGACGAACGGCACCAGUUGCUUCUUGGAGAACGUGAGCUUCUUCACGGCGAAAGUCCACAUGUGGCUCACCCCCGGCGUGAGCUCGAUCACCUUCCCGCUGGGGCUCAGGUUCGGCUCGAACACCGACCACGGGAAGGACGACGCGCACUGGAUCACCGCGUCGUACUUCUUGCCCGACGGGCUCUUGAGGGCCGCGCCCUCCGGGGUCUUGUAGUCGAGCACCUCGUCUGCCCCGAGGCUCCUCACGAGGUCGAUGUUGCGGGCCCCGCAAGUGGCGGUGACGUGCGCGUUCCCCAGCUUCGCGAGCUGGACGGCGAAGUGGCCGACACCGCCAGAGGCGGCGGUGACGAGGAUGUUCUUCUGGGGGCCGCUGCCGUCGAACUUGAGCCCAGCCGACGUGAGGGCCCCGUGAGCCGUGCAGCCGGCUAUGGGGAAGCUUGCUCCAUCAGCAGCUGAUACUUCAGGAGGCCUUGGAAACGUUACAUCUAUCUUAGCCACUGCAUAUUCUGCCAAACCACCUCCUGUCUGUUUCCAUCAAGAUUCAUGACCACAAUCAAAGAAAAUCCAUACAAAAGAUGCAAGAUAGAGCAAGAAACACCUCCAUCGAUCUAGAUCGAUGUAAAUCUUUAGUAAAUCCGCUAUUCUCACGAAAAGAAAUUUGCAGUGCCGGUCGACAUAUGGCCAAUUAUUUACAACCAUAAUCCAGCACAGAGCUAAACUCUGUCUCCAACAAUUACACCCAACUCGUUAAGUUUUUUAGGUGCAUUGCAGAGUCUUUUGGAAAAUCAAGCACCGCAAACAAUCAAAGGAUCUGCUACUGAGUAUAUAUUACUCCCUCCGUCCACUAAUUCAAGGCCUUCUUUUCUUUUUGGUCCGUCCACCAACUCAAAGCCUAUCUAUUUUUAGUAAAUUUUUAUUCAUAUUUUAAUUGGUGGGUCCCAAUAAACAAUACACUUUUUCUCCACUCAACUAAUAAAUAAUACAAUUUGUGGGUCUCUUUCUCCACUCAACCAAUAAACAAUACUCCCUCCAUCCCAAUAAUGAAGUCUCCUUUGUUUUGGGCACGGGUAUUUAGGAGAGGUAAAAUUGAUGUUAAAUGAGUAGGGACCACAUAAUUAGUGCUUUAAUUAGUGUUAUUUUAUUUCUUAAUUAAAUUGACUAAUCAAGUCUCUACGCCUCUCUCUCUGUACGUGAUUUCUGCGCCGUCGUUCGCCGGCUGUUUCAGCCGCCGGCGAGUCGCCGCCCUUAUUCCUUCUUAGGUCGGCAUCACUUCCCCCUUCCUCUUCACUGUCAUUCUCUCCAUUUCUCAAAAUCGAGCCCAAAUCUCUUCUCUCUCUUCUCGCCGUUCUCUCUUGCAAAACACACACACACAGAUAUCUGGCAGAACACACACACACAGAUCUCUCGCCGUUCUUCUCGCCGUUUCUCUUCUCUCUCUUCUCGCCGUUCUCUCUUGCAAAACUCACACACACAGAUCUUUGGCAGAACACACACAUACAUAAAUGCAUCCUCCACCACAAAAAUCAAAGAUACAUAAAAUUUUCAUCCCAAAAAUCAAAGAUGCAGAGUCCGGACGGACUGUAAGAGAGGCAGCAACGGUUCCGCCUGAAUCAGCAGAGAGCUAGGGCUCAUUCCGAAAGGGGGAAACUCGCCUGUGCAUUUCGGUGAGAGAGUAAGAGGUAGAGUGAGCGACGAUCUCGACGGUCUUUCUGAGAAGAGAGCAGACGACACGAGUCGGCCACUGCUCGCCGGAAAUCGAAAGCAGUAGCGAUGAUUUUGAUGAGAGCGUUAGGGCUCAUUUCGAAAGGGAAAACAAGGGCACGAUAUGAGAAAGGAAUUGGAAUUGAGAGAAAAGAGAGAGAGAAGAGCAGAUGUGGCGGGGAAGCAGCGCCGGUGACCGGCGUGACGGCGACCUCACCGGUCUUCCAGAUGCAGCGGCUUUCUCAAAGGGGAGAGAGGAAUUGAAGAGAGAGUGAGGAGAAUGAAGGCUGCGUGAAAGAAGAAGAGGAGAGAGAGAGAGUAAAUUGUUAAUUCAACUAAUUCUAUAUUAAUUUUUGCCAAAAAGGGAAAGGAAACUUGAAUAUUGGGACGGCCCAAAAAGGAAUAGGAGACUUGAAUAUUAGGACGGAGGGAGUAUAUUUUGUGGGUCUCUUUCUCCACUAAUCUAAUAAAAAUACACUUUUUCUUAAAAUUUGUGUUUUGCCUCUUAGAUCUUGAAUUAGAGGACGGAGGGAGUAUAAUUUUUAAUUAUAUUUUCUUCAAUUUUAAUUUAUUAUGCUUUAAUAUUAUAAAAAGAUAAUUACCAAGAAUUCACACAUCCAAUUAGGGUUUAUAAUUAUUUUUUAUAUUUAUUUGAAUUAACAAUUAAUUAUUUGGGUUCAUUAAUUCAAAGUUAGGGUAUAUAAUUUUUUAAAAUUUCAAUUUUGAUAAAUAUUAAUUAGAGUUCAUAAUAUAAUAAUAUUUUUUAUUUUUAUAAAAAAUAAUUCUAAAAUAAAUAAAUUAAGAGUGAUACACGGUGGUACACACAAAAUAGUGGGACAAAAGAUCCCAUCUGCCAGCACAUACGUCGGUCAAUAUUCAAUAAUGAGCUUUUCGAAAUGGAAAAACGUGUAUUAGAGUGUCUAGAAAAUCAAGUUGUGGAAUAGCUUGUAGUUUGGGUUGGAAAAUGAAUUUAAUGUAAUGGGGCUGUAAUAGCUAGUCACUACCCGAGUAGACUUCUAAGUCCAAGUCAAUUCAAUUAUUAAUAUACUCCACCUAAGUAUAAGAAUAUGGAGUAUGAAAGAAGAAGGAAUCAUAUCCUCACAAAUAAUAAAAAUGAUGGGUUUUGGGAUAAGUAGUCGCAUUUUGAUCAUGGCCAUAGUGUUGAUGAAAGCAGCAGAAGCAAGCAUGAGCAGAGAGAUGCAGGCAUUGAUGAAAUUUGGGUGGCCUCACAACUCCACAACUCAUCACUGCAAUUUGACUGGCAUUACUUGUGAUGAUGCUGCUCAUGUUGCGGCGAUGAGCCUCCAAGUUUGCUCUUAUCCUACUACUCUUCUUAGUUUAAACCAUUUUGAUGUGUUUGCUUUUCCACAUCUCACUAGAAUUCAUCUCACCUCAUGUUGCCUCAAUGGAACCAUCCCACCACAUAUAGGUUACCUCUCCAAACUAACUUAUCUCAAUUUGUCUCACAAUCCUCUAUAUGGUGAAUUGCCUGUGUCACUUGCAAAUCUCACUGAAUUGCAGAUACUUGACAUUUCUGAUAUUAUGGUCAUAUGUCUUAUGGCAUUUAUGGUGUCAUUCCGCCUGAGAUAGGAAGCUUAUCCAAACUAACUCAUCUCGAUUUGUCAUACAAUGAACUCAACAGUGAUCUGCCUCUCUCACUUGCAAAUCUCACUAACUUACAUGUGCUUGACCUUUCUUAUAACAGCAUUGUCGGUGUCAUUCCGCCUGAGAUAGGAAACUUAUCCAAACUAACUCAUCUCGAUUUGUCAUACAAUGGACUCAACAGUGAUCUGCCUUUCUCACUUUCAAAUCUCACUGAAUUGCAGAUACUUGACAUUUUCUCAUAGUCGUCAGUUUUAGACAUAAANGAUAGGUUACCUCUCCAAACUAUCUCAUCUCAAUUUGUCACACAAUCAACUGUACAGUGAAUUGCCUCUGUCACUUGCAAAUCUCACUAACUUACAGGUGCUUGACAUUUCUUAUAACGGUUACAAUUCUGGUGUCAUUCCGCCUGAGAUCGGAAGCUUAUCCAAACUAACUCAUCUCGAUUUGUCACACAAUGGACUCAACACUGAUCUGCCUCUCUCACUUGCAAAUCUCACUAACUUACAGCUGCUCGACCUUUCUCAUAAUAGAAUUGUCGGUGCCAUUCCGCCUGAGAUAGGAAGCUUAUCCAAACUAACUCAUCUCGAUUUGUCAGUCAAUAGACUCUACGGUGAUCUGCCUCUCUCACUUUCAAAUCUCACUAACUUACAGCUGCUUGACAUUUCUGAAAACAACAUUUCCAGUGCCAUUCCGUCGGGAAUAGGUUACCUCCAGCAAUUGAUUGUUCUUGAUUUGAGCCACAACAGCAUCAGUGGCUCUCUGCCCUCAACUAUGCGCCAAUUAACAAGAUUGGAAUUGUUGAAAUUGGACGGCAAUAUGUUGGUAGGUGUUUUUGAGGCAGGAAUACAAAUGCUUCCUUCAAUUAAAACAGUAGACCUCAGUAGGAAUACAAUCGAAGGAAGGAUACCUUUUGAGUUUGGAGAUGCUGCUAAUGCACCGUUCUUGAAUAUCGAUCUGUCUCAUAACCAUCUUUGUGGUAGAGUUCCCGAAUCUCUUUCGCAUUUGGAUGGAAUCGAUCUGUCCUACAAUCGUUUAGAAGGUCGAAUUCCACUAGACAUCUGGCGUAAAUUUCCAGAGGAAUCGUUCUUCGGAAAUUCAGAGUUACGUCAUUAUCCAAAUGAAGCCAAACAUCCUCGAAAUGCUGUUAUUGCUGUGGUGAUACUAUUUGGAUGUGUGUUUUUGUUUUCAUCAGGUUUGAUUCUAACCUUUUACUUAAGAAGGAAAGCAGCCUCUGCAGUCACACCUCAUGAUGACCAGAGACAUGGAGACAUAUUCAAGAUAUGGAACUUCGAUGGAAACAUCGCCCAUCAACACAUCAUCCAAGCAACAGCAGACUUCGAUUUCGGGUACUGCAUCGGAACUGGAGCUUACGGGAGCGUCUACAGAGC